GGGGUGAGUACACGUGGGGAACGUGCCUUUAGGUUCGGAAUAACUCAGGGAAACUUGUGCUAAUACCGAAUGUGCCCUUCGGGGGAAAGAUUUAUCGCCUUUAGAGCGGCCCGCGUCUGAUUAGCUAGUUGGUGAGGUAAAGGCUCACCAAGGCGACGAUCAGUAGCUGGUCUGAGAGGAUGAUCAGCCACAUUGGGACUGAGACACGGCCCAAACUCCUACGGGAGGCAGCAGUGGGGAAUCUUGCGCAAUGGGCGAAAGCCUGACGCAGCCAUGCCGCGUGAAUGAUGAAGGUCUUAGGAUUGUAAAAUUCUUUCAGUAGGGACGAUAAUGACGGUACCUACAGAAGAAGCCCCGGCUAACUUCGUGCCAGCAGCCGCGGUAAUACGAAGGGGGCUAGCGUUGCUCGGAAUUACUGGGCGUAAAGGGAGCGUAGGCGGACAUUUAAGUCAGGGGUGAAAUCCCGGGGCUCAACCUCGGAAUUGCCNUUUGAUACUGGGUGUCUUGAGUGUGAGAGAGGUAUGUGGAACUCCGAGUGUAGAGGUGAAAUUCGUAGAUAUUCGGAAGAACACCAGUGGCGAAGGCGACAUACUGGCUCAUUACUGACGCUGAGGCUCGAAAGCGUNGGGGAGCAAACAGGAUUAGAUACCCUNGGUAGUCCACGCCGUAAACGAUGAUUGCUAGUUGUCNGGGAUGCAUNGCAUUUCGGUGACGCAGCUAACGCAUUAAGNNCAAUCCGCCUGGGGAGUACGGUCGCAAGAUUAAAACUCAAAGGAAUUGACNGGGGGCCCGCACAAGCGGUGGANGCAUNGUGGUUUAAUUCGAAGCAACGCGCAGAACCUUACCACCUUUUGACAUGCCUGGACCGCCAGAGAGAUCUGGCUUUCCCUUCGGGGACUAGGACACAGGUGCUGCAUGGCUGUCGUCAGCUCGUGUCGUGAGAUGUUGGGUUAAGUCCCGCAACGAGCGCAACCCUCGCCAUUAGUUGCCAUCAUUUAGUUGGGAACUCUAAUGGGACUGCCGGUGCUAAGCCGGAGGAAGGUGGGGAUGACGUCAAGUCCUCAUGGCCCUUACAGGGUGGGCUACACACGUGCUACAAUGGCGACUACAGAGGGUUAAUCCUUAAAAGUCGUCUCAGUUCGGAUUGUCCUCUGCAACUCGAGGGCAUGAAGUUGGAAUCGCUAGUAAUCG
rnacentral:rRNA from 1 species